UACGAACCGUCCAAACGUUAUUCGGAAUCACUGGGCUUAAAGAGUCUGUAGGCGGCUGAGAAAGUAGGGUGUGAAAUCCCACGGCUUAACCGUGGAACUGCGCCCUAAACUACUCAGCUUGAGGGAGCUAGAGGUAAGCGGAACUGAUGGUGGAGCGGUGAAAUGCGUUGAUAUCAUCAGGAACACCGGAGGCGAAGGCGGCUUACUGGGGCUUUUCUGACGCUGAGAGACGAAAGCUAGGGUAGCGAACGGG
rnacentral:rRNA from 2 species